rnacentral:lncRNA from 1 species
UCUACGAACCUGGCAAUGUGUUCCCUGGCAUUUCCUUUCUCCCCGUUGUAUUUUGGAAACUGCGGGGGAUGCUCAAUAUACCCCGUCGGAUAAGGUUGCCUCCGAAUGUGUGCAGGGUAAGGUGGAGUAAAAUCUAACUCCGAGGGUCGGGAUGUCUGCCUGCGAAGUUGAUUGAUCACAUCGAUCAUAUCAUCCUUCGUCACGUACUGGCUUGUGGCGUGAACUCUCUGGGGUGUUGUAAUAUACUGUUGUAUUGGCGGUGUGUAUGGUGAAGAGAUUGGUUGAUGUACACUUGCAUCGUGCAAAGCUGGCACUAGUGGCAUUUGCUGGCUCAUUCGCUGGACAUGGCUUGGG